AGCAACAAAUGCCCUGCUUCCAGGAAAAGCCUCUAAGCAUCAGGUAACAUCAAAUCGUACCCCAAACCGACACAGGUGGUCAGGUAGAGAAUACCAAGGCGCUUGAGAGAACUCGGGUGAAGGAACUAGGCAAAAUGGUGCCGUAACUUCGGGAGAAGGCACGCUGACACGUAGGUGAAGUGAUUUACUCAUGGAGCUGAAGUCAGUCGAAGAUACCAGCUGGCUGCAACUGUUUAUUAAAAACACAGCACUGUGCAAACACGAAAGUGGACGUAUACGGUGUGACGCCUGCCCGGUGCCGGAAGGUUAAUUGAUGGGGUCAGCGCAAGCGAAGCUCCUGAUCGAAGCCCCGGUAAACGGCGGCCGUAACUAUAACGGUCCUAAGGUAGCGAAAUUCCUUGUCGGGUAAGUUCCGACCUGCACGAAUGGCGUAAUGAUGGCCAGGCUGUCUCCACCCGAGACUCAGUGAAAUUGAACUCGCUGUGAAGAUGCAGUGUACCCGCGGCAAGACGGAAAGACCCCGUGAACCUUUACUAUAGCUUGACACUGAACAUUGAGCCUUGAUGUGUAGGAUAGGUGGGAGGCUUUGAAGUGUGGACGCCAGUCUGCAUGGAGCCGGCCUUGAAAUACCACCCUUUAAUGUUUGAUGUUCUAACGUGGACCCGUGAUCCGGGUUGCGGACAGUGUCUGGUGGGUAGUUUGACUGGGGCGGUCUCCUCCUAAAGAGUAACGGAGGAGCACGAAGGUUGGCUAAUCCUGGUCGGACAUCAGGAGGUUAGUGCAAUGGCAUAAGCCAGCUUGACUGCGAGCGUGACGGCGCGAGCAGGUGCGAAAGCAGGUCAUAGUGAUCCGGUGGUUCUGAAUGGAAGGGCCAUCGCUCAACGGAUAAAAGGUACUCCGGGGAUAACAGGCUGAUACCGCCCAAGAGUUCAUAUCGACGGCGGUGUUUGGCACCUCGAUGUCGGCUCAUCACAUCCUGGGGCUGAAGUAGGUCCCAAGGGUAUGGCUGUUCGCCAUUUAAAGUGGUACGCGAGCUGGGUUUAGAACGUCGUGAGACAGUUCGGUCCCUAUCUGCCGUGGGCGCUGGAGAACUGAGGGGGGCUGCUCCUAGUACGAGAGGACCGGAGUGGACGCAUCACUGGUGUUCGGGUUGUCAUGCCAAUGGCACUGCCCGGUAGCUAAAUGCGGAAGAGAUAAGUGCUGAAAGCAUCUAAGCACGAAACUUGCCCCGAGAUGAGUUCUCCCUGAGACUUAGAGUCUCCUGAAGGAACGUUGAAGACGACGACGUUGAUAGGCCGGGUGUGUAAGCGCAGCGAUGCGUUGAGCUAACCGGUACUAAUGAACCGUGAGGCUUAACCUUACA
rnacentral:rRNA from 2 species